UAUAUGUGUAAUAUUGAAUUAGAAUUCGAUUAACCGCAAUUAAUAAGAAACUAUUGGAUAAGGUUAUAGCAAAGUAAGCAAUUUAUUUAUAUAUUGAGAAUCUGCUAGAAUCUGUGUCCCACACUGUCGGUUCACCGCUCGCGGUGUUCAACAGGCAUGUCUGUGGGACGUCCUAACGGUGGGCUUAGCCCGUAAAAAGGCGGCCCAACUCAAAAUCCUACCAAGGUGCUCUUCACCGAGUGUCGAGGGGGCCGGUACGUUUACUUUGAACAAAUUAGAGUGCUUAAAGCAGCUCAUUCGCCUGAAUAUUGUGUGCAUGAAUAAUGGAAUAGGACCUCGGUUCUAUUUUGUUGGUUUUCGGAAUUCCGAGGUAAUGAUUAAUAGGGACAACUGGGGGCAUUCGUAUUGCGACGUUAGAGGUGAAAUUCUUGGAUCGUCGCAAGACGGACAGAAGCGAAAGCAUUUGCCAAACGUGUUUUCAUCAAUCAAGAACGAAAGUUAGAGGUUCGAAGGCGAUCAGAUACCGCCCUAGUUCUAACCAUAAACGAUGCCAGCUAGCGAUCCGCCGAAGUUCCUCCGAUGACUCGGCGUGCAGCUUCCGGGAAACCAAAGCUUUUGGGUUCCGGGGGAAGUAUGGUUGCAAAGCUGAAACUUAAAGGAAUGACGGAAGGGCACUACAAGGAGUGGAGCCCGGCUUAAUUUGACUCAACACGGGAAACCUCACCAGGUCCAGACACCGGAAGGAUUGACAGAUUGAGAGCUCUUUCUUGAUUCGGUGGGUGGUGGUGCAUGGCCGUUCUUAGUUGGUGGAGUGAUUUGUCUGGUUAAUUCUGAUAACGAACGAGACUCUAGCCUGCUAAAUAGACGUACUUUCUGGUAUCGCAAAGACCCUCCGCUUCGGCUUCGGUCGUUGUUGGUUGUGGUUCUCACUACCGGCGUACAAAUAUAUCUUCUUAGAGGGACAGGCGGCAUUUAGUCGCACGAAAUUGAGCAAUAACAGGUCUGUGAUGCCCUUAGAUGUUCUGGGCCGCACGCGCGCUACACUGAAGAGAUCAGCAGGUUUUCCUUGGCCGAAAGGUCCGGGUAAUCCGUUGAAGCCUCUUCGUGCUAGGGAUUGGGGCUGGCAAUUCUUCCCCAUGAACGAGGAAUUCCUAGUAAGCGCGAGUCAUAAGCUUGCGUUGAUUAUGUCCCUGCCCUUUGUACACACCGCCCGUCGCUACUACCGAUUGAAUUAUUUAGUGAGGUCUUCGGACCGGUGCGCGGCAGCGUUUCGACAUGCCGAUGUUGCUGGGAAGAUAACCGAACUUGAUUAUUUAGAGGAAGUAAAAGUCGUAACAAGGUUCCGUAGGUGAACCUGCGGAAG
rnacentral:rRNA from 1 species